CUGGAAUCGGUCACAAACUUCAUGAAGCCAUGCCACAUUUGGCUCCUAAGCAUAUCUAUGGACUAGACAGGAAAACCGAGAGGAAAGGCAGAGGUGAAGGAAACAUCGUUACUUCAUCAAGUAGUGAAGGAGAGAAGCCAUUAUUAUUUUUUUUAAAGGAAGAUAAGGAAAAUUGAGGGCAUCAGGUAACUAGAGGGCUCCAUAAAUGCUGUCAUGUUCUAUAGCCUUCUCAUCAGCUUUGCUGAGGAGCAAGACUUCCAGCUCUUGUGAGGUAGGAAGGAAGGCUGCCGUGACACUGUGGUCCUCCAUGUGUAUCAAAUUAUCAAAUGCCAUUUCUGUCCGAGGGCAGUCUGCGCUGGUGUGCACAAAGAAGAGGGAGGGGUGAGGAGGCGAGAGGGUGCCUAAUGUUAAAGGGAGAGCUUUUCCACAGGGUUCUAUGGUUGCUAUAGAAACAGCUCCUUUUGUUUGUACAUAUUCAGAGCAGCUGCUUCCUUUUGCUUUCUGGUGGCAGGGAUACCAUGGAGGUAGCUAAGAGAAAAAGAAGCACCAGUUUGAGCGUGGAAAACAGUUUCCAUAGUUAGAUUUUCCGUAUUUCAAUGGGUUUAAUGCUAUAUUGGAACUUUUUGACUUUUGAAUACGAAUAUCUAAUCUCUUUGAAAAUCAAUUCCACAAACCAUCAUAUAACGAUUCCAAAACCUUUAGGAUAUGGUUCUCAGAGACAGCUAAGGCAAGACAUACAAAUACAUACUCAAAUGAGUUUGACAGUGAAAGAGAAGAGAGAAGUAGAAGAAAGGAGCAGACCACAAGUGAGGAUGCCAGACUACACACAUGUCAUGAUUCACACUUCUUUGUUUGGGGGCAUUCCUCUUCUACCAUAUCCAGUUUCAAAUGGAGCUCCUCUGGAUAAACACUGA
rnacentral:lncRNA from 1 species